GAUUAUGGCUCAGGAUGAACGCUAGCUACAGGCUUAACACAUGCAAGUCGAGGGGCAUCAUGAUCAAAGCUUGCUUUGAUUGAUGGCGACCGGCGCACGGGUGAGUAACGCGUAUCCAACCUUCCCCCUAGUAGGGCAUAGCCCGGCGAAAGUCGGAUUAAUACCCUAUGUUUUCCGUUGAUGGCAUCUGACAUGGAACAAAGAUUUAUCGCUAGGGGAUGGGGAUGCGUCCGAUUAGGUAGUCGGCGGGGUAACGGCCCACCGAGCCUUCGAUCGGUAGGGGUUCUGAGAGGAAGGUCCCCCACAUUGGAACUGAGACACGGUCCAAACUCCUACGGGAGGCAGCAGUGAGGAAUAUUGGUCAAUGGGCGUGAGCCUGAACCAGCCAAGUAAGCGUGCAGGAUGACGGCCCUAUGGGUUGUAAACUGCUUUUGCCGGGGAAUAAAGUGAGGGACGUGUCCCUUUUUGUAUGUACCCGGAGAAUAAGGACCGGCUAAUUCCGUGCCAGCAGCCGC
rnacentral:rRNA from 1 species